AACGAACGCUGGCGGCGUGCCUAACACAUGCAAGUCGUACGAGAAAUCCUGGGCAACCGGGAGAGUAAAGUGGCGCACGGGUGAGUAACGCGUGGGUAACCUACCCUUGAAUUGGGGAUAACUCCUCGAAAGGGGAGGUAAUACCGAAUAAUAUUCCAGUUCCCACGGGAGUUGGAAUCAAAGAUGGCCUCUGCAUGCCAGCUAUCGUUUAAGGAUGGGCCCGCGUGCCAUUAGCUAGUUGGUAGGGUAAUGGCCUACCAAGGCAACGAUGGUUAGCUGGUCUGAGAGGAUGGCCAGCCACACUGGAACUGAGACACGGUCCAGACUCCUACGGGAGGCAGCAGUGGGGAAUCUUCGGCAAUGGACGCAAGUCUGACCGAGCAACGCCGCGUAAGUGAUGAAGGUUUUCGGAUCGUAAAACUCUGUUGUUAGAAAAGAACAAGAGAAGUAGUAACUGGCUUCUCCUUGACGGUAUCUAACCAGAAAGCCACGGCUAACUACGUGCCAGCAGCCGCGGUAAUAC
rnacentral:rRNA from 1 species